rnacentral:rRNA from 1 species
AUGAAUCGGGGCUUUUCACCAUCCGGCUCAAAGUUCUUCAGAGAUGUUCUCCAUUUUUUCAAACUCCACCCUCAAGAUCUCGGGCCCAAUUCCAUAUCCAAUAUCUGCAAUUUCCAAGUUCUUUGUGAGGUGUACCUUCAAGAAGAACCGACUGUGGAACUCUUUAGAGAGUAUUUUUAUCUGAACUGCCAGAACGAGUGUACCAAUGGCCCCAGCUUUGAACUUGGAGGCAUCUCAAUUCAGCACCGACAAGGCGCCGUUUUCCCCCUAAUAGUCUUUCCGAGUCAUCCCAAGACCAGAAUCAGACCUGGUUCUACUGCCAAGACACUUCACCAGCCAAUGAGAAACCACUGCCGGGUUAUCGCGCGGAUCAUCUAG